CGGCAGCAUAGAGAGCUUGCUCUCUGAUGGCGAGUGGCGAACGGGUGAGUAAUAUAUCGGAACGUGCCUAGUAAUGGGGAAUAACUAGCUGAAAGGUUAGCUAAUGCCGCAUACGACCUACGGGUGAAAGCAGGGGAUCUUCGGACCUUGCGUUAUUAGAGCGGCCGAUAUCUGAUUAGCUUGUUGGUGGGGUAAUGGCCUACCAAGGCGACGAUCAGUAGCUGGUCUGAGAGGACGAUCAGCCACACUGGAACUGAGACACGGUCCAGACUCCUACGGGAGGCAGCAGUGGGGAAUUUUGGACAAUGGGGGCAACCCUGAUCCAGCCAUUCCGCGUGAGUGAAGAAGGCCUUCGGGUUGUAAAGCUCUUUCGCAAGAGAAGAAAACUUACUAUCUAAUAAAUAGUAAGUAUGACGGUAUCUUGACAAGAAGCACCGGCUAACUACGUGCCAGCAGCCGCGGUAAUACGUAGGGUGCAAGCGUUAAUCGGAAUUACUGGGCGUAAAGCGUGCGCAGGCAGUUUUAUAAGUCAGAUGUGAAAUCCCCGAGCUCAA
rnacentral:rRNA from 1 species